UUUCAUUGGAUUUUUAAGUACUAAAUAUAAGACACAUUGAAGAGAAGUAUAAAAUUACCAACUGACUCAUUUCUGGUAAUUUAUCUACGUGUUUAAAGCAUUAGUGAAAAAGUCUAGAUCAUUGUAGUUAUUCUGAUGGAAUUUUUUAAUUGUCAAUUUGUGAAAAAGUGGAAUGUCAUCAGAUGAAGAAGCCCGUGCCUGGUUAAGAGAACAUUUCUUGCGUACUCUAACUAAGUUUAAUGGAAAGGAUGCUGUUUUUACAAUGCAUCAGAAUAUUACAGUUACUGGCCAGUAUGAGUGCUCAAGUGCAGAUUUAAAAUAUUUUCACGUAUCUGACCUAAAAACACCCCUGGGGAAUUGUAAACAAUCCCUCUUAAGAUCUAGAGAUGUAAUCAGCAUUGAUUUCAAAAGCCAAACUAAUUUGUUCCCUGAAUCCAUUUUGCAUGCUUUUGCAAAAGGUUGUGUACAGCAAAAUCAAUAAAUGUAUCUGAUUCC